rnacentral:rRNA from 1 species
GAAACACGGACCAAGGAGUCUAGCAUGUGCGCGAGUCAUUGGGAAUAACUAAACCUAAAGGCGCAAUGAAAGUGAAGGUCCGCCUUGCGCGGACCGAGGGAGGAUGGGCGUCAUCCACCGCAAGUUGGACCGCCCCGCACUCCCGGGGCGUCUCGUUCUCAUUGCGAGGAGAGGCGCACCAAGAGCGUACACGCUGGGACCCGAAAGAUGGUGAACUAUGCCUGGUCAGGACGAAGUCAGGGGAAACCCUGAUGGAGGUCCGUAGCGAUUCUGACGUGCAAAUCGAUCGUCGGAACUGGGUAUAGGGGCGAAAGACUAAUCGAACCAUCUAGUAGCUGGUUCCCUCCGAAGUUUCCCUCAGGAUAGCUGGCGCUCGUCGCCUACGAGUCUCAUCCGGUAAAGCGAAUGAUUAGAGGCAUUGGGGUCGAAACGGCCUCAACCUAUUCUCAAACUUUAAAUGGGUGAGAUCUCCGGCUUGCUCGAACUACUGAAGCCGCGAGAAACGGAUCAGAGUGCCAAGUGGGCCAUUUUUGGUAAGCAGAACUGGCGCUGUGGGAUGAACCAAACGCCGAGUUAAAGCGCCUAAAUCGACGCUUAUGGGAUACCAUGAAAGGCGUUGGUAACUUAAGACAGCAGGACGGUGGCCAUGGAAGUCGGAAUCCG